ensembl:lncRNA
GUGUUUACAGUGUGUGUGUGUUCUUCUAUGCUAAGCACUAUUGUGUGUUUGUAGUUGAAGGACCCGCGGUUUGAGUGGACGAAAGAUAGGACGUUGCUGCUGAAUGACGUCACACACCGUGACCAGGGGCUCUACUCUAUCAAACUGUCCUCUGGAUUCACCUAUGAGACCGUUCGCCUCACUGUCUCAGAAUGUAUAAAAACCUUCCGUCUGGGCUAUGGGGAAACCUUUCAGCACAACAUCCCUAAAUAUGGCUCCGUGCUGGAGUUCUCUCCCCGGGGCUCCCCCUCUGACUCCCAGACGGUAUUACUGUGGAACCGGAUGGACCCUGAGACCAGCGAGGCGAGCCGGGGGAGGCUAGGGUCAAGUGGGAGGGUCUGGGUGGCAGAGAGGGUGACCCAGGCAGACCAGGGAAACUACACCCUCCGAGACGAGAAUGGGAAAGUAAUCUCCCGCAGCAAGUUGACUGUCAAUGGUGAGCACUAGAAAGAUCAAAGAGAUCUGGAUGAAGGGGAGUUUGAAAUGAAAAGGGAGAUGGAGAGAGGGAGAUGGGAUCGGAGGCUAGGAGAGAAGAGAUUGCGAUAUUAGAUCUGACAAACGGUCAAAACUGACUCAUAAUCCAAACUGACUCUUAAUUGUAUCUGAUUCUUUCAUCCUGAUGCCCCUCAUCGUCCUCAUGUCCCCUCCUUAAUUUCUCCUUUUUCUUUUCCUUUACACUCUUUCCAAUUCUCUCUCUCUCAUUAUCCCAUGUGUGGGUGCAGGGCACAACUUCAAUGUCACCCGCUUCUUCAAGGAGUCUCUAAACCUUCCCCUUUUUCUCCCUGUCCCUCAUGUCCAACUCAUUUUUACCCCAUCCCUGCACCUCUCCAACCCCUCCAACGUGCCCCUUGAGUCCCGGUACUCUCGCCCCGUGCAGCUGAUCAGGGAUGGCCAGAUUGUGGACCAGGACCCCCGGUACUGGGGCCUCCUUUCUCUGGGGAGAAACGGGACUGUCAACGAGGUGGUCAUCACCAGGCUGAGUGCAAAGCAUGAUGGGAUGUAUGAGAUCCGAGAUCAGGGCGGCAACCUGGUGUCGUCCACCAUUCUCCAUGUGGUCGAUAAGACUGCUAGAUGGAGAGCAGUCCUCAAGUCCAUCAGUGUUCCUUUUGGCAUGUUUGUGACUUUGGCUGGUUUCAUCCUAUUUAUGAAGCGCUACCCUAACUGCAGCCUCACUAUGAUAAUCAACGGCCUAAGAGGUCACCAUACAACAGCAUCUAACCAUCAAAGAGUCAAUGUCCAGGACUACAGUCCACCCAGCCUCCAGCCCUCUGGCAUUUAGUCAUUCAAAGCAGAUUGUAACGGCAAAAAUAUGGAGCCCCAGACCUACACAUUCGGUAGGUAGACGGUGAAGUUGUAAAUGUAGGCUCUUUUCACCAUUAUUAUAGAUUUCUAUAUUAUGUGUCUUUCUCAGGGUUACAUUCCUGUCGUGGACAGUGGACCACAGCCCUCCCCUGAGCCAGUGAGGACAGCGAGACAACAGGAGACCGAUAGACUUAGAGUUGAGACUGCCACUACUCACACUCCUAGUGAAGAGGUAAAUACACACACUGUUUCUAUUUUCUGUCUCACAAUGGACAAUUAACUUAUAUUCUGCUCUUUCGUUUUGUCAUUGACUCCCUCUCUCUUCUCAGGAGACUGCUGACAGAGAGAGGGAGAUCUCCUUUCAAAUCAAAUCAAAUCAAAUUUAUUUAUAUAGCCCUUCGUACAUCAGCUGAAAUCUCAAAGUGCUGUACAGAAACCCAGCCUAAAACCCCAAACAGCAAGCAAUGCAUGUGAAAGAAGCACGGUGGCUGGGAAAAACUCCCUAGGAAAAACUCCUGAGAAAGGCCAAAAACCUAGGAAGAAACCUAGAGAGGAACCAGGCUAUGAGGGGUGGCCAGUCCUCUUCUGGCUGUGCCGGGUGGAUAUUAUAACAGAACAUGGUCAAGAUGUUAAAAUGUUCGUAAAUGACCAGCAUGGUCAAAUAAUAAUAAUCAUAGUAAUUGUCGAGGGUGCAACAAGCACGUCCGGUGAAACAGGUCAGGGUUCCGUAGCCCGCAGGCAGAACAGUUGAAACUGGAGCAGCAGCAUGGCCAGGUGGACUGGGGACAGCAAGGAGUCAUCAUGCCAGGUAGUCCUGAGGCAUGGUCCUAGGGCUCAGGUCCUCCGAGAGAAAGAAAGAAAGAAAGAGAGAAGAGAGAAUUAGAGAGAGCAUAUUUACAUUCACACAGGACACCGGAUAAGACAAGAGAAUACUCCAGAUGUAACAGACUGACCCUAGCCCCCCGACACAUAAACUACUGCAGCAUAAAUACUGGAGGCUGAGACAGGAGGGAUCAGAAGACACUGUGGCCCCAUCCGAUGAUACCCCCGGACAGGGCCAAACAGGCAGGAUAUAACCCCACCCACUUUGCCAAAGCACAGCCCCCACACCACUAGAGGGAUAUCUACAACCACCAACUUACCGUCCGAAGACAAGGCCGAGUAUAGCCCACAAAGAUCUCCGCCACGGCACAACCCAAGGGGGGGGCGCCAACCCAGACAGGAAGACCACGUCAGUGGCUCAACCUACUCAAGUGACGCACCCCUCCCAUGGACGGCAUGGAAGAACACCAGUAAGUCAGUGACUCAGCCCCUGUAAAAGGGUUAGAGGCAGAGAAUCCCAGUGGGAAGAGGGGAACCGACAAGGCAGAGACAGCAAGGGCGGUUCGUUGCUCCAGCCUUUCCGUUCACCUUCACACUCCUGGGCCAGACUAUACUUAAUCAUAGGACCUACUGAAGAGAUAAGUCUUCAGUAAAGACUUAAAGGUUGAGACUGAGUCUGCGUCUCUCACAUGGGUAGGCAGACCAUUCCAUAAAAAUGGAGCUCUAUAGGAGAAAGCCCUACCUCCAGCCGUUUGCUUAGAAAUUCUAGGGACAAUUAGGAGGCCUGCGUCUUGUGACCGUAGCGUACGUGUAGGUAUGUACGGCAGGACCAAAUCGGAAAGAUAGGUAGGAGCAAGCCCAUGUAAUGCUUUGUAGGUUAGCAGUAAAACCUUGAAAUCAGCCCUUGCCUUAACAGGAAGCCAGUGUAGGGAGGCUAGCACUGGAGUAAUAUGAUCAAAUUUUUUGGUUCUAGUCAGGAUUCUAGCAGCCGUAUUUAGCACUAACUGAAGUUUGUUUAGUGCUUUAUCCAGGUAGCCGGAAAGUAGAGCAUAGCAGUAGUCGAGCCUAGAAGUAACAAAAGCAUGGAUUAAUUUUUCUGCGUCAUUUUUGGACA